GACGAACGCUGGCGGUGUGCUUAACACAUGCAAGUCGAACGGAAAGGCCCUGCUUUUGUGGGGUGCUCGAGUGGCGAACGGGUGAGUAACACGUGAGUAACCUGCCCUUGACUUUGGGAUAACUUCAGGAAACUGGGGCUAAUACCGUAUAGGAGCUCCUGCUGCAUGGUGGGGGUUGGAAAGUUUCGGCGGUUGGGGAUGGACUCGCGGCUUAUCAGCUUGUUGGUGGGGUAGUGGCUUACCAAGGCUUUGACGGGUAGCCGGCCUGAGAGGGUGACCGGCCACAUUGGGACUGAGAUACGGCCCAGACGCCUACGGGAGGCAGCAGUGGGAAAUAUUGCACAAUGGGCGGAAGCCUGAUGCAGCAACGCCGCGUGCGGGAUGACGGCCUUCGGGUUGUAAACCGCUUUCGCCUGUGACGAAGCGUGAGUGACGGUAAUGGGUAAAGAAGCACCGGCUAACUACGUG
rnacentral:rRNA from 1 species